CGAUGUCCAAUCAGGAAACGGGGGUGUGUGCUAGUGGGCGUGGCUCGACUGUGUUGCUGUGAAAAUGUCGCUGGGCUCGGGUUUUCAUCAGGGCAGGGGACCACUCUGGAUUCAAUAACAACCAGGAGGAUAGUGGAGGAGUGCAGCAGCGGGGGACGCAGAAGUGAGGGUGACGGUCUGGAGGCGUUGCGAAGUAGCCGCUGUUGAUGGAAAUUACAGUCGGCAUCGAUUUCAAGUUCCCAUGAAAGUGUGCCUGUGGAGAAAUGACAAAGGCCGAUUUUCUCAGGACCACGCUGCAGGUAAAGCUCUGCCGGACUUCUCCUUCAUCACACAGAGCGUGAUGCUUGAGUAAUGGUUGUGAGCGGUAACUGCAAACCAGGGCCUCUGUCUCGUUUCCAUUAGAAUUGAAGAAACAUCUGAUCAAGGUAUGUGAAUAAUCAGAUAAACAGUAACCCGGAUUCUUAAAAUAAACUCUGCUAAUGUUUGACUGAACGAAAACAGACUAUUUAUAAGACAGUCCUUUUAAAGAUACAGCUACGUCCCUGGUUUGUAUCGACCACAGGAACUUUGCAUGGACAUUAAAUCAUGCCGCAUUAUUUUCACAGCGUUUCUUUUUUUUCACAGUAGUGCUCAUUGUCUUUAUCGGGCAACGGUGUGAAUUUGAAUAGAAGCACUGGAUAAGGCAGUGUUCUGUGUUUCCUUUAGGGCAGAGGAAGGCCAAAUUGAAAAAGGGAAGUACAUGUGGUGGGCCUGUACGUGAUAUUCAAGAGAGAGGCUGCAAUGGUUAAUAAGUUCACACUAUAUCCAUUUUUAUCUCGCUCCGCUCCGGAGUUAAAAUGCAGUGGCGCUGAAUCUGGAGCAGCGUGAUUUCUGCGUCAUAAAUCACUGUAUCGAUGUGAGUUUUUUUAAAAAAUAAAUAAAUAAAUCAAACGCCGGCGUAAACCCGAGCACAGUGUAAAUAAUCUACUCGGUACAGAGUCGGGAGGAAGUGGAUUUCCUCGUUAGGCAGCAUUAAAACGCCAUACGAAGGCUUAUGCAACUGAUACACACGCUGGUGAUGUGCCUUUAAAACCAGUGGGAUGUCAGGUGAUCGAGGAGUCUCAGUCAGCUCAGCUUCACAAACAGAGGAGCCGGAGGAGUGUGCCUCUAGCCGAGAGCAGAGAGGAGAGCGCCAGAGAGCAGGGCAGCGGCGAGGGAGAGACCCAAUUAUAAGGGGACAUAGGGGAAAAUUGGGACACAGCAACGUCACAAAGUUGGGGACAGGCUGCCGUGGUGGUAGGGCCCCUUUAACUGCGGUCUGCUCAUGCUCACUUGCCUUCUGUGGCAGCUAGCAAGUGUGUUUCUGCCUCAGCUUGAUCAAGGAGCUGCGUUGUGUAGCCACAACAGUGGCAUAAAAGCACAGAGAAUUAAGUGCUGCGUCACACUCAGGAAGGGGAAUAGCGUGAGUGUGCGCGCGCGUGCACAGCUGUGCGUGUGUGUGCGGGGCCGCGCACGUCCACGUGCACUGCUGUGGGGUCUGAUCUGUGUAUAUGUGUCCAGCUGGAAGUAGCAACCUAAUAGCAGUUCUGCUGUUGCAACAAGAUGGGAAGAAAGAGUGCGCGUGUUUCAGAGUCAAGCAGAAAGGAGGAGAAAGGGAGAUACAAGGGGAGGGAGGGAGAGCAAGUCAGAGAGUGUGUGAGGCAGAGAGAGGGAGAGAGGUUUUCGGAUUAGUUGCUACGUCACUUUUUCAUGUCGGGAGAAACAGAAGCUGAGAUAACAGAAGCCCAGAGUCAUCGUCAGUCGUCCUCCACCUGGAGUGGACGGCGCUGGUUUCGGACAAGCUCGGCUUCCUCCUCCUCCUCUUCCUCUUCCUCUUUGGUAGUUUUGAUGUGCUCUGCCUGUCGCUGCUAUAUACGUGUGUGUGUGUAUGUGUGCGUGUGUGCCGUGUAGUUCCUGUGAGCUGCUGCCCGAGUUCCAACAUGGAUGCUGAAGAUGUGACACAGUUCCACUAGGUCUUGUUUUGAUGGUCGUGGUAAAGGCGUGCGUUGAGUGGGCAGAGGUGCGACAAAGGGGUUAACAAAAGAAUAUUCUGGAGGACUCUUAAUAUCACUGCGAAGCUCAGUCUGGAAUGAGUGGCCGAGAAUUACCGAGGUAUUCGCACAUCGCGUCUUUCUUUCUUCUUCUUUUUUUUUUUUUUUCCUCCUUUGUGCCAGCAGCAUCUCGUGGUAUACGGAAGAUUGCAUUGGCGCAAGCAGACGUAUACGGCCAUGAGUGGCGUCGCCACGAGGCUUAUUCUGAAACAGAGUUGUUUAAAACACCGUCAUAUGGUGUGUGUCAGGUGGACGGCGCAGCAAAUCAGAUGAAAUUACAGAUUUAAUUUGUUAUUCGCCUCCGACAAUUGUGUCACAACAAAUGCGUGUGUAUAUGUAUCUGUGUUCAAACUGUUGAAUGGCCUACUUUUUUUUGGGAGGGGGGGGGGCGGUUAGCUCUUGUUGGAGUAAAGGGUGAGCAUCUAGAGGGAAACGCAGGCAUGUAUGAAGGUGGAGACUACUUGGAAUCCAGCUGCAUUUUGCCAUCGGAUGUCAGUCCGUGGCAAGUGGCACUUUUGUCAUGUGAUUUGUUUUCACCCUCCAGGGCCACUGGGAUUUGGCAAAACCUUUCCCAAGACACAUUUGUUUCUGCGUAGUUAGGAGAGACACAGAUGAUGACGCAGUCACUUCUGGGCUGGACUUCUCCUCAACCAGUACACAGCUUGCAUCUCUCCUUCUGUUUAUCUGCCUAUCUCUCUCGGCCCUGCAGAAGGGACAGGCUGAAGGGGCUAAAUGUCAUGGCUCUGGAUCAGAGGGAGCGAGAAAGAGAGGACAGCGAACCUGAGACAAAAGAGAGAGAGAUGGAUAGAGAGAGGGGGGAAGUUGUUUGUUCUCUUGGUGACUCUGCUUUCGCUUCUCUCCAGUUCACAUGAACUGGACUUCCUAAAGCUGCUGCAUCACAGGCCGUCGUGCCAAAACUGGAUUUUCAUUGGAUGGGAGGAGCUCCCCCAGCGCCACAAGCUGCGCAGCGGCACUUCAUUGGCUGAAAGCGAGCAAGCAGGCAGGCAGGCAGCUCCUGUUCAGCAUCCGAUUGGCCGAGAAGCAUCGCUCUCUUACGCUACGGUCGCAUGUUUACAUGGCUCGACUUGUUUACUGCUGGCUAUCUGUUGAAAAGUUAGAUGUGGAUUUUUUUUUUUUUUGUACAAAUAUUUUCUGCGUGGCUCUAGAAAGCUGUGAAGUGAUGAAUCAGAUAGUUUUCAGGUAUGUGUGAGAGGAAAAGAUGUGUUGUUAUUCUGAGAAGUGAUUAUCAGAGUUGCUGUCGAGCCGGUUUCUGACCAUCCCUGCAUCUUAUGACGCAGUGGACUGAUCUCAGUGCUUGGUGACGCGGUGCUUUACAGGUACUGUCAGUUUCUAACAACUGUAUGAGCUGCACUCGCAUAUUCGCAUACUGUACUUGUAUUUUUAAGACGUUCAGAGGAGUUUCAGUAAAAGACAUGUUAACAUCUUAACGACUCUGAGAUCCAUAGCCGUAAAUACUUGUCUGUAUGACCUGCUGUGCACAGGCCAGAAGAGCGUUUAAUCUCAGUUAAUGAACUUGUGCUCCAGUAGAAUUAUGAGUUAUCAGUUUUCCCAGUUAUUCAUACCACAUUACGUAGCCACUUCCUGGAGCCCUCCUUCGAAAAUAGAGUGACGCAUCAGUGCCUUUCCUUUUUAAGAAAAUUACAGGAAACUCUGAAGUCCAUAAAAUAAACUCAGGCCUUCCCGUCCACUCUGAACUGUACGUAUCUCAGCAUCGUCCUGCGUGGCGUCCCGGCCUGAUUCACGCCGUCGAAGGAGGCAAGUUUUCUCGUUCUUCUGGCUUAAAGAUGCUACAUUUGUGAGAUGAUGCAAGAGCAUGUGUGGCUUCCUGUGGUCUGCAUUGCAGCUCCAGCUUCUACAGUCAGCACCUCUCUGCCUCUUUCGCUCUCUCUCUCUCUCUGCUCAAUGUGCUGACGGUAUAACAUACUUUAUACCUCCACUGCCUUUUAAAAAAAAAAAAAAAAAAAAAAAAAAACAUAUUCGCCCCCUUUUAAGAUUAUUGUAACAAUGAUUGUAGCUUUAACACUGCAGCUUGUGCACCUUCAGUCAUGGGGAGGGGCGCUACAGUUAGUCGUUGGUAGGUGUGGGCUAUGCAUCAACAUGAGGCAUGAAAUGCCACAAAAGUUAACUAUUUUAGUAGCAAUCGAACAACUGAUUCAUGUUUUUAUUUCUUAUUGUGACGGUAAGCUAAAUUUUAACUUCGUAGUAUUUCGUUAUCCCGCUGAAAACUUCAACUCUAAGCUGCCACAGUGCCUUUCAUGCACAUUUUGCUGCGGUUUGCUGUCCAGCAGUGUUCUGUAGGUACUGUGUUCUUAUUUCUCUGCGAGUAAGGAGCGAUAACCCUGACCCUUGCGGCCGAGGGUUUUCCAAGUGGUGCUUCACAGUCCCAUCGUGAAUCUGUUGUUGAUCGCUCUCUGAACGCUGCCUGUCCCUUUAAAUCUUUUAUAAGCAUUACACAACAGGUCCAGUGGCACACAAGCAACAAACAACCCGAAAAAGAAAACUGACGGGGCUGGGUUGAGCCAGCCAGGAGAAGGAACCAGACACCUACGGACAGACAGGCAGGCCCUGCGAUCAGAGCCGUCACUGUGGCUACCAUGCAAACACACUCCCUCACACGCACACGCGCACACACACACACACACACACACAAAAAAUAAAAUUAAAAGGUGUCUUCAAACGGUCCAUCUGAAGCCUGAUGGUAAACGCUGUGGGGGUUGUGCCCUUCCUCUUAUUGUGAAAAUCAAAGUAAAUCAUAUCUGAUGUUUUCAGGCUGGGGCGAGGCUUCCCUGAUUCGGCUGUAAUGGGUUUUAUUACAGCGUUAUUUGUGGGAGUUGUCACUGUAAACAUGAAUUAAUAAAGGCAGACUGUGUGUGGGUGGGCUCUCGAAGGUUUCGGAGCAAGACAAUGAAUCGUCAGCGGCCCCUUCACGUGCGGCUUAGAGCAAAAGCAGCGAGCGAGGAAGAACAAGGAUAUUAGAAAUGGUUGGGUAGUUUUCUACUUUCUUGAAGCACUUGGCAACAAGUCGGCGAACUGGCCACUACCUGUCCUUGCCCCACCCUCUCAGGGCAUUGUAGCUGCCUUUCUGCGUCAUGCCUCUCACUGCCAGCUAUUGACUGCCACUUCCCCUCUUUUCCCUCGUAGCGGCUGGUGAGAUAAGCGCACCAUCAUCCUCUCUAUUUAACCGGGGCAACAGAGAGAAGGCGACUCAACCUUGGCACACAGCGUCGCAGGUGAGCCAGCACGCUAAAGAUACGCAGCACAGAGGCAGCCUUUCGUGUGUGUCUGUUCUGCCUCGGCCCUUCACGCAUCCACAACGUUUGGAUCGAGUAUCGGCUCGGUCGCGUGGGCGUGUUACAGAGGAAUAGAUUUAGACGUAGAGGUGUUCUGGGGCUUUCGCAGUGGUUUUCCAUUUCAUCUCUCUCCCUCCCUCGCUCGCUCUGCCUUCAUCUGCUUUCCGAACCAGGCCACGGAGUCAAACUUUCUUUGUUGGCACAAACCUGAGUCUGAACCAUCGCAGAAUGCAUCAUGGUCCACUAGAGUCUCCGGACCUCUGUUGGGCUGCCUUGUACCCUCAUCUAGACCCAUUUAAAAAAAAAAAAAAAAAAAACAACUUAUAACGUAAUUUAAAGCUCACUGACCCUGGUACUGAGUUACUGGCGCAUAUUAGUGUGAUGGAGGAACGUGACGCAUUGUUAAAAAAAAAAAAAAGAAAAAAACUGUUUGCAGAAGUUAAAGCCUCUAGAUGAACCAAGAUUGAAUACGACAAUGCCCUUAAUUCUCUCCGCAGAUCUAACCGCACUCAACUCUCCCCACUUAAAGAAGCAACCAGUGCAAAGCUGCAUUGUGAUUAAAUGCCACGCAUGAUAAUGUCACAUUAUUGUGGGCGGUCAAUGCAUAAUUCAUAUCCGCAAACACAGCAUGCAAUGGAAGGUUUGUACACUGUCAUACAAUUACUAACUUGUUCCACGGGGGAUGUGUCUGACUAACGCUCCUGUUCUCUCCCAAAUUUAGGUGGUAAAAUCAAAAGAAACGAGAAAUAACUUUCUGACGUGUAGCGUUUAGUUCAGCGUGAGCACUUAAGACGUUUUUCCUACUUUGGAGAAUGCAUGGGACUUCAGUUGGAGCACUGUGUUUGUACGCCAAUGCUAAUUCUACGUAUAUUCGUCUGCUAAUAUUUAUUUUAUUUCCCAGCAUUUUCUAGAUCCCGCUUUUACAGUGCAGAAGACUGCCUUCGUAUCAGACAUGCCCCCCUUGGAAGCUGGUUUCAGAUGGUGGCUUAGAGUACUGUCAUCCAUCUAGCACCAUUUGAAAUCAGUGUUCUUGGGGCGGGAAGUGUGUUUCACCAACGAGCACUGUGCAGCUGUGAGCUCCCCACAGAGAAAUGGGUUAAAAAAAUAAAAAUAAAAAAAAAAGUCGUUGCCCUGAAUCACCACACAACUGAUGUUUUGAAAAGCUCAAGCUCUUUGUCCUCUUUCCAAGGUUGACCGUUUUCUUUUGGUGUUCAGAGUCUGCUUCUGUUUCUAGCACCAUUUGAAAUCGGUUACAAUGAAGGACAGAUCUCGUCUCCCCUUGAGGAUGUUGCAGCUCAGAGUCAGAGCCACGCACUUCAUGUUACUGACUGACAAUCUGGGACUUUACGCCAUCAAACAGUCAAACUCAUGCAUUCAGUACAAAAAAAGUCCAAGAUUUCUUCCUGCAUUGUACUAAUAUAUGUAAAAACAAGUUUUGGAUGAAGAAUCUAAACUCCUUAACACUGUAGUAAGAUACUGUAAAUGUAUAGCCAUAUUUUUGUCUGCCAACCUGAUCAAGGUAAGAUGCAGUGUUGCAUCCACAAGGUGUCACUGUAACAUAAUUAUUAUACAGUAUUUGACGUGUUACAUUUGGAUUUGUCUUGACCCACAGCCAGUUUCCGUGAUUGUUUAAUUACAUUUUAUUUCUGAUUUGCUUUGAAUGCCGGUCCAUGUUUAUCAAUUUAAAUUUACAGAAGCAGACUUGAAUUACUGCAAUUUCCUGUAUAUCAAAUUAUUUUGGCAAACAUUAAAUAUUUUUCCUCCUAA